GAUGAACGCUGGCGGUCUGCUUAACACAUGCAAGUCGAACGAACUCUUCGGAGUGAGUGGCGGACGGGUGAGUAACGCGUGAGAAUCUGCCUGUGGGUCGGGGACAACCACUGGAAACGGUGGCUAAUACCGGAUGAGCCGAAAGGUAAAAGAUUUAUUGCCCACAGAUGAGCUCGCGUCUGAUUAGCUAGUUGGUAAGGUAAAAGCGUACCAAGGCGACGAUCAGUAGCUGGUCUGAGAGGAUGAGCAGCCACACUGGGACUGAGACACGGCCCAGACUCCUACGGGAGGCAGCAGUGGGAAUUUUCCGCAAUGGGGGCAACCCUGACGGAGCAACGCCGCGUGAGGGAAGAAUGGUUGUGGCCAGUAAACCUCUUUUAAUAGGGAAGAAUUCUGACGGUACCUAUUGAAUAAGCAUCGGCUAACUCCGUGCCAGCCGCCGCGGUAAU
rnacentral:rRNA from 1 species